AAUACAUCUAUUAGGCUAUCCUCAUUUAGUUAUGGCAGAACCACACUUGACUGCUUAGAAUCAUUCAUUAUCGCUAGCCUGACUACAUUAUUAACACUAAAAAACAAAGGAGAACUACUAUAUGAACAAUAAGUUUUUAA
rnacentral:pre_miRNA from 13 species